AUGGCCUCUUACUGCUCUGAGCUCCAGUUCCUCGGGAACCCUGUCACCAACCAUGUUCAGAGCGCAGAGCAGCAUAACCAGGAUGUGAAUUCGCUCGGGUUGAUCUCGUCGAGGAAGACAGCGGAGGCAGUGGAAAUCUUGAAACUUAUGUCCUCUACUUAUUUAGUGGCGCUCUGCCAGGCUAUUGAUUUGAGGCAUCUAGAGGAGAACCUGAAGAGCGCAGUUGCGAACACGGUGAAGCAGGUGGCGAAGAGGGUGCUGACGACGGGGACGAGCGGGGAGCUGCACCCGUCGAGGUUCUGCGAGAAGGAUUUGAUGAAGGUGAUUGAUAGGGAGUAUGUGUUUGCUUAUGUGGAUGAUCCAUGCAGUUCUACUUAUCCAUUGAUGCAGAAGCUGAGGGGGGUGCUUGUGGAGCAUGCAAUGGCGAAUGGAGAGAAGGAGAAGGAUGCGGGUAGUUCCAUAUUUCAGAAGGUUGGAGUGUUUGAGGCGGAGUUGAAGGCGGUGCUGCCGAAGGAGGUAGAGGCGGCGAGAGCGGCAGUGGAGAGUGGGAGUCCGGCAAUCGGGAAUAGGAUUGAGGAAUGCAGGUCGUACCCGCUGUAUAAGUUUGUGAGGGAGGAGCUGGUGGCCGGAUUUUUGAGCGGAGAGAAGGUGAGAUCGCCGGGGGAGGAGUUCGAUAAGGUAUUCAAUGCGAUUUGUAAGGGAAGACUGAUCGAUCCGAUGCUUGAGUGCUUGAAGGAGUGGAAUGGUGCUCCCCUUCCCAUCACCUAAACAACUCCACCAUCAUUCUACUUAGCUUUUACGGGUACUAGAGACAUUCUAUUCUGG
rnacentral:misc_RNA from 1 species